rnacentral:rRNA from 1 species
UACGUAGGGCGCAAGCGUUGUCCGGAAUUAUUGGGCGUAAAGAGCUCGUAGGCGGUCUGUCGCGUCGGAUGUGAAAACCCAGGGCUCAACCCUGGGCCUGCAUUCGAUACGGGCAGACUAGAGUACGGCAGGGGAGACUGGAAUUCCUGGUGUAGCGGUGAAAUGCGCAGAUAUCAGGAGGAACACCGGUGGCGAAGGCGGGUCUCUGGGCCGAAACUGACGCUGAGGAGCGAAAGCGUGGGGAGCGAACAGG